rnacentral:tRNA from 1 species
AGGCCCGUAGCUCGAACUGGUUAGAGCAGCGGACUCCAAAUCCGCAGGUUGGGGGUUCGAAUCCCUCCGGGCCUGCCA